rnacentral:rRNA from 1 species
UGCAAGUCGAACGCUCUAGCAAUAGAGAGUGGCGCACGGGUGAGUAACGCGUGGGAAUGUACCGUUUAGUGGGGGAUAACCAAGGGAAACUUUGGCUAAUACCGCAUACGCCCUUCGGGGGAAAGAUUUAUCGCUAAACGAUCAGCCCGCGUGAGAUUAGGUAGUUGGUGGGGUAAUGGCCUACCAAGCCGACGAUCUCUAGCUGGUCUGAGAGGAUGAUCAGCCACACUGGAACUGAGACACGGUCCAGACUCCUACGGGAGGCAGCAGUGGGGAAUAUUGGACAAUGGGGGCAACCCUGAUCCAGCCAUGCCGCGUGAGUGAUGAAGGCCUUAGGGUUGUAAAGCUCUUUUACCGAUGAAGAUAAUGACGGUAGUCGGAGAAAAAGCCCCGGCUAACUUCGUGCCAGCAGCCGCGGUAAUACGAAGGGGGCUAGCGUUGUUCGGAUUUACUGGGCGUAAAGCGUGCGUAGGUGGUCUCGUAAGUCAGUGGUGAAAUCCCGGAGCUUAACUCCGGAACUGCCAUUGAAACUGCGAGGCUUGAAUCUCAAAGGGGGUGGCGGAAUUCCUAAUGUAGGGGUGAAAUCCGUAGAUAUUAGGAGGAACACCGAUGGCGAAGGCAGCCACCUGGGUGAGUAUUGACACUGAGGCACGAAAGCGUGGGGAUCAAACAGGAUUAGAUACCCUGGUAGUCCACGCCAUAAACGAUGAAUGCUAGUUGUUGGGGGCUUCGCCCUCAGUGACGACGCUAACGCAUUAAGCAUUCCGCCUGGGGGAGUACGGUCGCAAGAUUAAAACUCAAAGAAAUUGACGGGGACCCGCACAAGCGGUGGAGCAUGUGGUUUAAUUCNAGGCAACGCGAAGAACCUUACCAGGCCUUGACAUGUCCUCUUUGAUCGCCAGAAAUGGCUUUCUUCACUUCGGGNGGGAGGAACACAGGUGCUGCAUGGCUGUCGUCAGCUCG